UGAGUAACACGUAUCCAACCUGCCGUCUACUCUUGGACAGCCUUCUGAAAGGAAGAUUAAUACAAGAUGGCAUCAUGAGUCCGCAUGUUCACAUGAUUAAAGGUAUUCCGGUAGACGAUGGGGAUGCGUUCCAUUAGAUAGUAGGCGGGGUAACGGCCCACCUAGUCUUCGAUUGAUAGGGGUUCUGAGAGGAAGGUCCCCCACAUUGGAACUGAGACACGGUCCAA
rnacentral:rRNA from 1 species